rnacentral:misc_RNA from 1 species
AAAAGAAAUUUGAUGGAAGCCCAUCUGGGCCAGGGGAUUAACCUGAUUGCAUAGAAGAUAUAGCUGCUGAAAUUUCCUCCUGGGUGAUGGGCGCAUCCAGGUUAUUUCUCAGGUCUUGAGAAAGGGACGGUGAGUCAAGGUUAUUAAAGAAGUUUUCCAUAAUAUUAAAGUCUGCUGUACAAUCUGAAGAGUAUAAAUUUGAGUAGAAAGUUCUAAACUUGUCAUUAA